rnacentral:rRNA from 1 species
UAAUUGGGCGUUAAGUUGCAGGGUAUAGACCCGAAACCCGGUGAUCUAGCCAUGGGCAGGUUGAAGGUUGGGUAACACUAACUGGAGGACCGAACCGACUAAUGUUGAAAAAUUAGCGGAUGACCUGUGGCUGGGGGUGAAAGGCCAAUCAAACCGGGAGAUAGCUGGUUCUCCCCGAAAGCUAUUUAGGUAGCGCCUCGUGAAUUCAUCUCCGGGGGUAGAGCACUGUUUCGGCUAGGGGGCCAUCCCGGCUUACCAACCCGAUGCAAACUGCGAAUACCGGAGAAUGUUAUCACGGGAGACACACGGCGGGUGCUAACGUCCGUCGUGAAGAGGGAAACAACCCAGACCGCCAGCUAAGGUCCCAAAGUCAUGGUUAAGUGGGAAACGAUGUGGGAAGGCCCAGACAGCCAGGAUGUUGGCUUAGAAGCAGCCAUCAUUUAAAGAAAGCGUAAUAGCUCACUGGUCGAGUCGGCCUGCGCGGAAGAUGUAACGGGGCUAAACCAUGCACCGAAGCUGCGGCAGCGACGCUGAUGCGUUGUUGGGUAGGGGAGCGUUCUGUAAGCCUGCGAAGGUGGCCUGUGAGGGUUGCUGGAGGUAUCAGAAGUGCGAAUGCUGACAUAAGUAACGAUAAAGCGGGUGAAAAGCCCGCUCGCCGGAAGACCAAGGGUUCCUGUCCAACGUUAAUCGGGGCAGGGUGAGUCGACCCCUAAGGCGAGGCCGAAAGGCGUAGUCGAUGGGAAACGGGUUAAUAUUCCCGUACUUGGUGUUACUGCGAAGGGGGGACGGAGAAGGCUAUGUUGGCCGGGCGACGGUUGUCCCGGUUUAAGCGUGUAGGUGUGUGUUCCAGGUAAAUCCGGUUCACUUUAACACUGAGGCGUGAUGACGAGGCACUACGGUGCUGAAGCAACAAAUGCCCUGCUUCCAGGAAAAGCCUCUAAGCAUCAGGUAACAUCAAAUCGUACCCCAAACCGACACAGGUGGUCAGGUAGAGAAUACCAAGGCGCUUGAGAGAACUCGGGUGAAGGAACUAGGCAAAAUGGUGCCGUAACUUCGGGAGAAGGCACGCUGACACGUAGGUGAAGUGAUUUACUCAUGGAGCUGAAGUCAGUCGAAGAUACCAGCUGGCUGCAACUGUUUAUUAAAAACACAGCACUGUGCAAACACGAAAGUGGACGUAUACGGUGUGACGCCUGCCCGGUGCCGGAAGGUUAAUUGAUGGGGUCAGCGCAAGCGAAGCUCCUGAUCGAAGCCCCGGUAAACGGCGGCCGUAACUAUAACGGUCCUAAGGUAGCGAAAUUCCUUGUCGGGUAAGUUCCGACCUGCACGAAUGGCGUAAUGAUGGCCAGGCUGUCUCCACCCGAGACUCAGUGAAAUUGAACUCGCUGUGAAGAUGCAGUGUACCCGCGGCAAGACGGAAAGACCCCGUGAACCUUUACUAUAGCUUGACACUGAACAUUGAGCCUUGAUGUGUAGGAUAGGUGGGAGGCUUUGAAGUGUGGACGCCAGUCUGCAUGGAGCCGACCUUGAAAUACCACCCUUUAAUGUUUGAUGUUCUAACGUGGACCCGUGAUCCGGGUUGCGGACAGUGUCUGGUGGGUAGUUUGACUGGGGCGGUCUCCUCCUAAAGAGUAACGGAGGAGCACGAAGGUUGGCUAAUCCUGGUCGGACAUCAGGAGGUUAGUGCAAUGGCAUAAGCCAGCUUGACUGCGAGCGUGACGGCGCGAGCAGGUGCGAAAGCAGGUCAUAGUGAUCCGGUGGUUCUGAAUGGAAGGGCCAUCGCUCAACGGAUAAAAGGUACUCCGGGGAUAACAGGCUGAUACCGCCCAAGAGUUCAUAUCGACGGCGGUGUUUGGCACCUCGAUGUCGGCUCAUCACAUCCUGGGGCUGAAGUAGGUCCCAAGGGUAUGGCUGUUCGCCAUUUAAAGUGGUACGCGAGCUGGGUUUAGAACGUCGUGAGACAGUUCGGUCCCUAUCUGCCGUGGGCGCUGGAGAACUGAGGGGGGCUGCUCCUAGUACGAGAGGACCGGAGUGGACGCAUCACUGGUGUUCGGGUUGUCAUGCCAAUGGCACUGCCCGGUAGCUAAAUGCGGAAGAGAUAAGUGCUGAAAGCAUCUAAGCACGAAACUUGCCCCGA